rnacentral:lncRNA from 13 species
AUGUGUUUUGUUCCUGUGACAGGAUCAGAAGGUAAGCCAUGUUCUACCCUGCAGCCCUGUGUGAGUGCCUCAGAGGCAUCCUCCUUGUCCUCGUCCCUGUCCCCAGCCUCCGUCGCUAAGGACGUCUUCUUCAACAUCGCCACUGAGGAAAAGGUAGAAGGGCUUUCUUCUUCUAUUCUCUGUCUUGCUUUCACACUCAGUGCAUCCACAUCUGAACGUGUCAAAACAACAAGCCCUAACUCCUCUCUCUCUCCCUCCACACUCUUUCCUCCCCCUCUCGCUCCCUCCCCCUCUCCUUCCCUCCCUCCCUCCCCCUCCCCCUCUCUCCCCUCUCCUUCCCUCCCUCGCCCUCUCCCUUUCCCCCAUCUCCCGCCCUCCCUCCCCCAGGAUGAUGAAAGUGACUAUGAGAACCCAAGCCUGGAUGAGGAUGUAGACAGCAGUGUGGAGGAUCUGCUGGGUUUAAGCUGUUCCUUCAUAGACUCAAACUAUUACAAAGACCAUCAAGGGGUACACUCCGUAUCGGCUGCCCCAGAAACCAGCCCUUCUACCCUGGGCUUUCCCGGUAGAUAUAGCGACAGUCCCCAGCACAGCUCCCAGCUCCAUCCCAAUCCACAUCCCUAUCCACAUCCCUAUCCAUAUCCCUAUCAAGAGACUGAAAACAAAUCCAUACCCCAUCACACUAUUGUGGUCACCCAGUUCAACCCUAACCUGUUGCAGUCAGGCAGUGCCAUGGACGGCUAUAACAGUGAGUCGGUGGACCCUGUGGACCCUGUGGGUGUGGUGAGCACUAUGGUGAAUCUGAAUGGACCAGGAGGACAAGGAGACAUGAUGGAUUCUGACAGAGAGAGCUUCCCUAUCCUGAUCAGGUCCAUGUCUACAUCACGCAGACACAGCUUGGGCAUGCCCAUGUCUCCCAUCGACUUGGGGAGGAGGCUGAGCCUGGACGCCAUAGACAGCGAUGGAGAGAGGGAUGACUCUCUCCUCCGCUCCUCCCACCUACAGGCGUUUAUAUACCCAGGAUGCCCUGAGCAGGAAGUGGAGGAGUCCGAUGGGACAGACCUCUCCAGAUCUGAAGCCAAGGAGACAGAAACGGUAUUGAUGCCACACCACGGCCAUACCUGGCGUGUUUUGAACAUUGCACUCAGCUUGGAGGGCAUAAACACAUGUUUAAAAAAAAUAUGAAGAUAACUAGUAUAGGAUGCACUAAGUACUGUGAUUUCACUCUUCUCUACAACAAAAAAACUCAACAAAAGAAACAAAGUAAUAAUAUGUUUUCAAUCAACCAACUUGGUAAAAUAAAGGUCAAUAACAUAUAAAUAAAUACAUUAUGUCUGACAUCCUUGUAGGAGGAGUACAGUCGGUCUGGAAGGACAUACUCCAGAACAGAGAUUCUGGCCACAGAUGAGCACAUUCACGUCGCACACGUGUCUCACGUAGUGGAGACAUCGAAGAGGGCAGCAGGAGGUCAGUGUGUAGAGUAAGCUGCCGUUGACCCCCCCCCCCACCCCUUCCUGUACCCCCAGAGGGCCACAGACCAACAUCCUGCUGUCAGAAUG